AAAUUGAAGAGUUUGAUCAUGGCUCAGAUUGAACGCUGGCGGCGGGCCUAACACAUGCAAGUCGAACGGUAACAGGAAACAGCUUGCUGUUUCGCUGACGAGUGGCGGACGGGUGAGUAAUGUCUGGGAAACUGCCUGAUGGAGGGGGAUAACUACUGGAAACGGUAGCUAAUACCGCAUAACGUCGCAAGACCAAAGAGGGGGACCUUAGGGCCUCUUGCCAUCGGAUGUGCCCAGAUGGGAUUAGCUUGUUGGUGGGGUAACGGCUCACC
rnacentral:rRNA from 1 species